rnacentral:rRNA from 1 species
AACGAACGCUGGCGGCAUGCCUAACACAUGCAAGUCGAACGAGACCUUCGGGUCUAGUUGCGCACGUGUGCGUAACGCGUGGUAACCUGCCCUUAGGUUCGGAAUAACUCCCCGAAAGGGGUGCUAAUACCGGUUAAUGUCUUCGGACCAAAGAUUUAUCGCCUUUGGAUGGGCCCGCGUUGGAUUAGCUUGUUGGUAGGGUAAAAGCCUACCAAGGCGACGAUCCAUAGCUGGUCUGAGAGGAUGAUCAUCCACACUGGGACUGAGACACGGCCCAGACUCCUACGGGAGGCAGCAGUGGGGAAUAUUGGACAAUGGGCGAAAGCCUGAUCCAGCAAUGACGGGUGAGUGAUGAAGGGCUUAGGGUUGUAAAGCUCUUUUACCCGGGAUGAUAAUGACAGUACCGGGAGAAUAAGCUCCGGCUAACUCCGUG